UACGGGGGGGGCAAGCGUUGUUCGGAAUUACUGGGCGUAAAGGGCUCGUAGGUGGCCAACUAAGUCAGACGUGAAAUCCCCAGGCUCAACUUGGGAACUGCGUCUGAUACUGGAUGGCUUGAAUCCGGGAGAGGGAUGCGGAAUUCCAGGUGUAGCGGUGAAAUGCGUAGAUAUCUGGAGGAACACCGGUGGCGAAGGCGGCAUCCUGGACCGGCAUUGACGCUGAGGAGCGAAAGCCAGGGGAGCAAACGGG
rnacentral:rRNA from 1 species